rnacentral:misc_RNA from 1 species
ACAAGCUUGGCAAGGCAGGGGAGGAGUCUCACAAGGCUCUUACUGAGUUCGACAGGACUGAGAAGGAUAUAACUCCAAUUGGUGGCUUCCCUCACUAUGGUGUGGUGAAAGAUGACUACAUUUUGAUCAAGGGUUGCUGUGUUGGGCCGAAGAAGAGGGUGGUUACUCUUCGUCAGUCCCUGCUCAAGCAGACUUCUCGUCUGGCCCUCGAGGAAAUCAAGCUCAAGUUUAUCGAUACAUCUUCUAAGUUUGGGCAUGGCCGUUUCCAGACUACCGAGGAGAAGCAGAAGUUCUAUGGAAGGCUGAAGGCUUGAGCCAUGGUAUCUUGAAAUGCUAGUAUUACCUAAGACAGUCUCUGUUGGUAAAUUUGUUUGCUGUCCCUCUGCUCCUUUAAUUAAAUGACUCAACAUCCUUGUCAUCUCUAUAUUUCAGAUUUUGGGUCCAU